rnacentral:rRNA from 1 species
UGAGGAAUAUUGGUCAAUGGGCGAGAGCCUGAACCAGCCAAGUCGCGUGAGGGAAGACGGUCCUAUGGAUUGUAAACCUCUUUUGCCGGGGAUAAAGGUGUCCACGUGUGGAUGUUUGCAGGUACCGCAUGAAUAAGGACCGGCUAAUUCCGUGCC